rnacentral:lncRNA from 1 species
UGUGCAAUUAUAUAAUUUGAUUAAAAAAGAGCCAAUAAGGCAUAAUAUUUCAUACAACAGCCAAGCAAAGUACAUUCCAAUCAUACAUAGUACAAAUCUGGUAUUCAGCUAUAAAAUACUACUAAAUAUACACAUAACUAGCUCCAGUGAGCUAAGACGCAUUGUUGGGUGUGGUUUUUCUUCGGGAUUCUUCUUCCUAGAGCUCCUGUGCACCCAACUUUUGAAGAAUGAAGGCCAACAUCUACAAAUAAUAAAUUAUGGAAAGUUAGAAACAUAAUAAAGUGACAAGGUCAAGAUAGGCACAAGCAGCACGAGAAAACAGGAUAAUUGUGGUUCAACAUAUGCAAAUAUCUGAAUACUAUGUCAUAGCAAAAAAAUGACUAGUCGUCCACUGCCAAUCAAUUUCGGCAUGGGAAACGAUCACCAAUGAUCUACAGAAAUUUCUGAUUGCAUGUGUACAUGUCCAUGCAGUUAAACUGAGUUGAGACAAAGAGUCAACACCAAUUCAGAUUCAUCUCCCUGAAGGAACUCAGAACAAGAACAACUGCUCAAAUUCAGAAGUUUCAACAUAGGAACAGAACCAAAUUGGACACCUUUAACAGGAAAAACAGAAGAUAGGCAUUGUUAUAUAUAGUUGUGCUAGGCAAUUUUAAAAACAUAACCAAAUGCUAAUAGGAAGAACACCAAGAUUGCAUUCUGUAUGAAGAUAAACUAGAGCCAAAGGAAGGGUAACAGAUGAAGAAAAAAUCCUGACAUACAAAGGUAAGCUCAUUGUGCAUUUUCUUUUUCAAUGUGAUACACAAUAAGCAUAAGUAACCACCAAAAUCUCUCAAUACCGAUCAUUAACUAGACAAGUUCCAACAUAAAGGAAAAGCAAUUAUAGAGGUGUGACUUCAGGUACAAACAUAGCAAGGCCACAGCAGCCACGCAAUCACUUAACUACAACGAUUCUUCCUACUGCUGGCAUCCUUAGAAGUGAAAGCUUCUUCUAACCAGUCUAUUACUUCAUAAUGUCAUGGCAUGUCUAUAUAUUCAGUAAAAUAAAUAUAGUAGUAGGUAUGUAGGACAACAGCAUGCAUUGCCCUUAUCACCCAAGAAGAGGCUCCCAACGUAUCUACCAGCAGGAAUCUUAAAACACAUCCAUCAACUCUUCUCAUUAUCUUGGCCAAGUUAAUACUCACUCACUUAGCUAUUGCAUACACACAAGUCAAAAUAAUACAUCACAACAACUAAACGACCUUAGUCAUUAUGGAUUCUGAGUCCAGCUAUGAACGAACAUGCAAGUUUCAUAUAUACCGAGGUUCUUGUUGAGGGUGCGGGUGAACUGGUGGAGCGCAGGGGGGGCCUUGAGGCGCUAUUUGAGGAUGCGGCGCUAGCGCUGGAUGCGGAUGACCUUGGGCAACUUGACGAACCGGUGGAGGUCCUUCUUGGGCGGCAGGGCACCACUUAUGCCGAACUGCUUCGGCCUCUUCUCGAACGGCGGGUUCACCACCUUGUCCUGCAACCACACACCAACGCAACCCAGUCAGAUCACACGCGCCAGGACCGGGAGAUUCCGAGCAGGUGUUAUUUCUGCCAUUUAUUAAUUACACAUGCAACACUUAUAUUCAUAGCACUACUGGUACUUGUUGUACCAGGAACAGGAUGCGGCAGUGGAGCUUCAAGAAAAAUAUUUAGGGGCCAAAACAAAGAGGAAAAUACCAUUGCUAUCCAUGUGAGUCCAAGAGGUCCAAUGGUUAUUAUGAUUAUCAUGCAUUACAUAUACAUCAGCUCGCUCUUCCUAGAAAUCCACAACCUUUCCUGCGAUGCUUGUCAUGGGACAACGAAGUGACCUAUCAAUCACAUAACACAGUCCUAGAUAAACGUCUCUAUUUGAUCUAAACUAAACCAAGAUAGUAUGCAUUGCGGCUACAACCAACCUACAACAACCGUAGACAGUGAAGCAUACCAGACCACAAGAACAUGGAACGGUCCCUGUGUACAUCUAAUAUGAUCUCUCUUUGUCACGAUAUUAAUCUAACCAACCUCAAGAUUGCAGAGUAGAACAACCGCACAGACCAAUCAUGUAAACCCUUGCUCACCACAAUGGUGUAGGCGCCCUCGUCGGCCGGCAUGGACUUCUCCGUGUACCUCACGUCCCACCACAACACCAGUCACGUCCCAGGUCAGCGUCGUGUCGCCCUGAAUUGUCUGUGUCAAACCAGAUUCAGUCAGUCAAUCAGCCGG